ACCAGCAUGGUGUAGUGGUUUGAGCACUGGACUACGAUUCUGGAGACCAGGGUUCAAAUCCCUGCUCAGCCA